rnacentral:tRNA from 1 species
ACAUCGAUGGUGAAACGGUAUCAUGCUUGCCUUCCAUGUCGUUAGAUUGUAAGCAAGCGGCACGGGUUCGACUCCCGUUCGAUGUA